ACACUGUCACAGUCCUUGCGCACGAUGACACCUGUGACUCUGCUGAAAGUCCUUCCAUCACAGUGAGAACAGUUUCCUGCAUCCCACAGAACCUCGAUGUCCAUGUAGACUGUGACACAAACGAUGCUUCAGUACUGUGGAGCCACACUAAAGGUGCAGUCUCUUACUCGGCAACAGCAGAAGGAAGUGAUGGGCACCCAGUUUCUUGCGAGACAGCCAAUGAAGAAUGUCAGAUAACCAACCUACACUGUGGACAGGUGUAUAAUUUAACUGUGACAGCGCUGGAUGGUGUGUGUGACACCUCACAAAGCUCUCUGUUUGCAUUCAGCACUGCCCCAUGUGCACCUGAUAACAUUUCCACCAGUCUGAACUGUGACACCAGGAG